rnacentral:rRNA from 1 species
GACUCCUACGGGAGGCAGCAGUGGGGAAUAUUGCACAAUGGGGGAAACCCUGAUGCAGCCAUGCCGCGUGUGUGAAGAAGGCCUUCGGGUUGUAAAGCACUUUCAGUAGGGAGGAAGGUAGUGUAGUUAACACCUGCAUUAUUUGACGUUACCUACAGAAGAAGCACCGGCUAACUCCGUGCCAGCAGCCGCGGUAAUACGGAGGGUGCGAGCGUUAAUCGGAAUUACUGGGCGUAAAGCGCAUGCAGGCGGCCUGUUAAGUCAGAUGUGAAAGCCCGGGGCUUAACCUCGGAAUUGCAUUUGAAACUGGCAGGCUAGAGUCUUGUAGAGGGGGUAGAAUUUCAGGUGUAGCGGUGAAAUGCGUAGAGAUCUGAAGGAAUACCAGUGGCGAAGGCGGCCCCCUGGACAAAGACUGACGCUCAGAUGCGAAAGCGUGGGGAGCAAACAGGAUUAGAUACCCUGUAG